rnacentral:rRNA from 1 species
AACCUCCGCAAUGCGAGCAAUCGCGACGGGGGGACCCCAAGUGCCACUCUUAACGGGGUGGCUUUUCUUAAGUGUAAAAAGCUUUUGGAAUAAGGGCUGGGCAAGACCGGUGCCAGCCGCCGCGGUAACACCGGCAGCUCUAGUGGUAGCCAUUUUUAUUGGGCCUAAAGCGUUCGUAGCCGGUUUGAUAAGUCUCUGGUGAAAUCCUAUAGCUUAACUGUGGGACUUGCUGGAGAUACUAUUAGACUUGAGGUCGGGAGAGGUUAGCGGUACUCCCAGGGUAGGGGUGAAAUCCUGUAAUCCUGGGAGGACCACCUGUGGCGAAGGCGGCUAACUGGAACGAACCUGACGGUGAGGGACGAAAGCCAGGGGCGCGAACCGG